UACAUUCACAAUAUACAACUGGAUUUCUUCACGUAAAUGCAUCUAAAUUAACUGGUGAACACGUUGCAGGUGGGGACUACACGCCAGCAAGCGGCGCUUUAACAAGUCGGUCGGCGGCGAGAGGUUUAAAAGGCCAGCGUGCACUGUGGAUGGCGUAUCUGUAAUCGUGUACAAUAGACACAGGUGCUGGAGUAACUCAGCGGGACAGGACAGGACAGGACAGGACAGGCAGCAUCUCCGGAGACAAGGAAUGGGUGACGUUUUGGGUCGAGACCCUUCUUCAGACUUCCGUCGACUGGACAAGAGGCAACAAAAAGUUUUACAUCUCGAUACACGUGAUAAUAAACUGAGCUAAA